rnacentral:rRNA from 1 species
CCUGGCUCACGAUUAACGCUGGCGGCGCGCCUAACACAUGCAAGUCGAACGAGAGAUGAGGAGCUUGCUCUUCAAAUCGAGUGGCGAACGGGUGAGUAACGCGUGAGGAACCUGCCUCAAAGAGGGGGACAACAGUUGGAAACGACUGCUAAUACCGCAUAAGCCCACGGCUCGGCAUCGAGCAGAGGGAAAAGGAGCAAUCCGCUUUGAGAUGGCCUCGCGUCCGAUUAGCUAGUUGGUGAGGUAACGGCCCACCAAGGCGACGAUCGGUAGCCGGACUGAGAGGUUGAACGGCCACAUUGGGACUGAGACACGGCCCAGACUCCUACGGGAGGCAGCAGUGGGGAAUAUUGCACAAUGGGGGAAACCCUGAUGCAGCGACGCCGCGUGGAGGAAGAAGGUCUUCGGAUUGUAAACUCCUGUUGUUGAGGAAGAUAAUGACGGUACUCAACAAGGAAGUGACGGCUAACUACGUGCCAGCAGCCGCGGUAAAACGUAGGUCACAAGCGUUGUCCGGAAUUACUGGGUGUAAAGGGAGCGCAGGCGGGAGAACAAGUUGGAAGUGAAAUCCAUGGGCUCAACCCAUGAACUGCUUUCAAAACUGUUUUUCUUGAGUAGUGCAGAGGUAGGCGGAAUUCCCGGUGUAGCGGUGGAAUGCGUAGAUAUCGGGAGGAACACCAGUGGCGAAGGCGGCCUACUGGGCACCAACUGACGCUGAGGCUCGAAAGUGUGGGUAGCAAACAGGAUUAGAUACCCUGGUAGUCCACACCGUAAACGAUGAUUACUAGGUGUUGGAGGAUUGACCCCUUCAGUGCCGCAGUUAACACAAUAAGUAAUCCACCUGGGGAGUACGACCGCAAGGUUGAAACUCAAAGGAAUUGACGGGGGCCCGCACAAGCAGUGGAGUAUGUGGUUUAAUUCGACGCAACGCGAAGAACCUUACCAAGUCUUGACAUCCCUUGACGAUGCUGGAAACAGUAUUUCUCUUCGGAGCAAGGAGACAGGUGGUGCAUGGUUGUCGUCAGCUCGUGUCGUGAGAUGUUGGGUUAAGUCCCGCAACGAGCGCAACCCUUAUGGUCAGUUACUACGCAAGAGGACUCUGGCCAGACUGCCGUUGACAAAACGGAGGAAGGUGGGGAUGACGUCAAAUCAUCAUGCCCUUUAUGACUUGGGCUACACACGUACUACAAUGGCGUUAAACAAAGAGAAGCAAGACCGCGAGGUGGAGCAAAACUCAGAAACAACGUCCCAGUUCGGACUGCAGGCUGCAACUCGCCUGCACGAAGUCGGAAUUGCUAGUAAUCGUGGAUCAGCAUGCCACGGUGAAUACGUUCCCGGGCCUUGUACACACCGCCC